UUUCCCGAGGACACCUCGGGGCUGCCGGCAGACUCCCCCCUCGGGGCGAGCGCAGCGCCGAGGACCGCGCUGGGGUCCCGCAGUGCCGCCGCUUGCGCUGCAAACGCAGAGAGCCCGCGUGCGGCUCCGCCGGCACCGGCGCGGGGGGGCCCUGCCGCUGCCCCGGCCCCCUCCCUGCGGCGCGUCUCCUCGUCCAGCACGUCUGCUCCCUUCCCCGCGCAAGCCGUCCCCGCGACACCUUCUCCGCCGCCUUCGGCUUUCGCAGCUUGCGGAAAGAGCAGAGGUCUGAAGCUGUGGGCGCCACCCGUAACUUUCCGUGGCACCACGGGGAUUUUCACGUCCCCGCAGAUCGCGCAGCGAACCCAUGUGCUUCACGCGGUGACUGCUGGCGAAACCCGCGCAGCGCAGCGCCGAGGCUGGCUGGGCGAGCCGGCGGGGAUACCCCGCUAACCGGGCUACAACCUCGUCUGGUCGGUACACAUGGAGCUGCUUUCGAUUGCUAUCUAAAAAGCUCGCUGGUUUCGUAAGAAGGGAGGCUGAAAUAUAACCAUUUCAGGAAACACAGAGCUGCUAAAAGUUAUUAGUAAAGAGUAUCAAAUCAAAUCCCGAUCAGGGCUGUGAAAGGACUUUUCAAAAAAGAAAAGUGAAUUGAAUUCGAUCUCUCUGUCCCAUUUCGAAAUCCGGAAAGUUACUGUACUUCGCCAAUAAAAUCCUAGAAGUUUGCAAAAAGCGCUCAAUAAAAAACACUUUGGAGUGGUGUGCAAACACGGUGAACGCCUGACCGGAAAAUCCAGGCAUCUGGAUCUGAA